rnacentral:rRNA from 1 species
AUACGUAGGGUGCGAGCGUUGUCCGGAAUUACUGGGCGUAAAGAGCUCGUAGGUGGUUUGUCGCGUCGUCUGUGAAAUUCCGGGGCUUAACUCCGGGCGUGCAGGCGAUACGGGCAUAACUUGAGUACUGUAGGGGAGACUGGAAUUCCUGGUGUAGCGGUGAAAUGCGCAGAUAUCAGGAGGAACACCGGUGGCGAAGGCGGGUCUCUGGGCAGUAACUGACGCUGAGGAGCGAAAGCAUGGGUAGCGAACAGGAUUAGAUACCCUGGUAGUCCAUGCCGUAAACGGCGGGCGCUAGGUGUAGGGGUCUUCCACGACUUCUGUGCCGUAGCUAACGCAUUAAGCGCCCCGCCUGGGGAGUACGGCCGCAAGGCUAAAACUCAAAUGAAUUGACGGGG